rnacentral:rRNA from 1 species
GACGAACGCUGGCGGCGUGCCUAAUACAUGCAAGUCGAGCGCUGCGGGGACGGGGGAGUAACACGUGGUUAAACUCCUUUAAGACCGGGAUAACUUCGGGUAACAGGUGCUAAACCGGCUACUCGUAGAUGGAUCCGCGGUGCAUUAGCUAGUUGGUAAGGUAACGGCUUACAAAGGCAACGAUGCAUAGCCGACCUGAGGGGGUGAUCGGCCACACUGGGACUGAGACACGGUCCAGACUCCUACGGGAGGCAGCAGUAGGGAAUCUUCCGCAAUGGGCGAAAGCCUGACGGAGCAACGCCGCGUGAGUGAUGAAGGUCUUCGGAUCGUAAAACUCUGUUGUUAGGGAAGCGGUACCUAAUCAGAAAGCCACGGCUAACUACGUGCCAGCAGCCGCGGUAAUAC